GACGAACGCUUGCGGCGUGCUUAACACAUGCAAGUCGAACGGAAAGGCCCUGCUUUUGUGGGGUGCUCGAGUGGCGAACGGGUGAGUAACACGUGAGUAACCUGCCCUUGACUUUGGGAUAACUUCAGGAAACUGGGGCUAAUACCGGAUAGGAGCUCCUGCUGCAUGGUGGGGGUUGGAAAGUUUCGGCGGUUGGGGAUGGACUCGCGGCUUAUCAGCUUGUUGGUGGGGUAGUGGCUUACCAAGGCUUUGACGGGUAGCCGGCCUGAGAGGGUGACCGGCCACAUUGGGACUGAGAUACGGCCCAGACUCCUACGGGAGGCAGCAGUGGGGAAUAUUGCACAAUGGGCGGAAGCCUGAUGCAGCAACGCCGCGUGCGGGAUGACGGCCUUCGGGUUGUAAACCGCUUUCGCCUGUGACGAAGCGUGAGUGACGGUAAUGGGUAAAGAAGCACCGGCUAACUACGUGCAGCAGCCGCGGUGAUACGUAGGGUGCGAGCGUUGUCCGGAUUUAUUGGGCGUAAAGGGCUCGUAGGUGGUUGAUCGCGUCGGAAGUGUAAUCUUGGGGCUUAACCCUGAGCGUGCUUUCGAUACGGGUUGACUUGAGGAAGGUAGGGGAGAAUGGAAUUCCUGGUGGAGCGGUGGAAUGCGCAGAUAUCAGGAGGAACACCAGUGGCGAAGGCGGUUCUCUGGGCCUUUCCUGACGCUGAGGAGCGAAAGCGUGGGGAGCGAACAGGCUUAGAUACCCUGGUAGUCCACGCUGUAAACGGUGGGUACUAGGUGUGGGGUCCAUUCCACGGGUUCCGCGCCGUAGCUAACGCUUUAAGUACCCCGCCUGGGGAGUACGGCCGCAAGGCUAAAACUCAAAGGAAUUGACGGGGCCCCGCACAAGCGGCGGAGCAUGCGGAUUAAUUCGAUGCAACGCGUAGAACCUUACCUGGGUUUGACAUGGAUCGGGAGUGCUCAGAGAUGGGUGUGCCUCUUUUGGGGUCGGUUCACAGGUGGUGCAUGGCUGUCGUCAGCUCGUGUCGUGAGAUGUUGGGUUAAGUCCCGCAACGAGCGCAACCCUUGUUCACUGUUGCCAGCACGUUAUGGUGGGGACUCAGUGGAGACCGCCGGGGUCAACUCGGAGGAAGGUGGGGAUGACGUCAAGUCAUCAUGCCCCUUAUGUCCAGGGCUUCACGCAUGCUACAAUGGCUGGUACAGAGAGUGGCGAGCCUGUGAGGGUGAGCGAAUCUCGGAAAGCCGGUCUCAGUUCGGAUUGGGGUCUGCAACUCGACCUCAUGAAGUCGGAGUCGCUAGUAAUCGCAGAUCAGCAACGCCGCGGUGAAUACGUUCCCGGG
rnacentral:rRNA from 1 species